UGGCGGACGGGUGAGUAAUGUCUGGGAAACUGCCCGAUGGAGGGGGGUAACUACUGGAAACGGUAGCUAAUACCGCAUAACGUCGCAAGACCAAAGAGGGGGACCUUCGGGCCUCUUGCCAUCGGAUGUGCCCAGAUGGGAUUAGCUAGUAGGUGGGGUAAAGGCUCACCUAGGCGACGAUCCCUAGCUGGUCUGAGAGGAUGACCAGCCACACUGGGACUGAGACACGGUCCAG
rnacentral:rRNA from 1 species